UGAGUUGUGGCUCAGUGGUAGAGCACUUGCCUUGCAUAGAUGAGGCGCUGGGUUCGAUUCUCAGCACUGCAU
rnacentral:tRNA from 1 species